UGAUCUGAUGUACGGAGGCAUCUACUGU
rnacentral:piRNA from 1 species